rnacentral:rRNA from 1 species
ACGCUCGACACCUACGGGGAGGCAGCAGUGGGGAAUAUUGCACAAUGGGGGAAACCCUGAUGCAGCGACGCCGCGUGGAGGAAGAAGGUCUUCGGAUUGUAAACUCCUGUUGUUAGGGGAAAAAGAGGAUGGUACCCAACAAGGAAGUGACGGCUAACUACGUGCCAGAAGCCGCGGUAAUCUGAGCGGGCUGGCAAGGC